AACUCUAGGAGUUGGCCCUUGUCUAUGUUCCUUGGAACAGGACGUCACAGAGGGUGAGAAUCCCGUGCGAUGGGGUGUCCAAUUCUAUGUAGAGUGCUUUCGAAGAGUCGAGUUGUUUGGGAAUGCAGCUCUAAGUGGGUGGUAAAUUCCAUCUAAAGCUAAAUAUUGGCGAGAGACCGAUAGCGAACAAGUACAGUGAUGGAAAGAUGAAAAGAACUUUGAAAAGAGAGUGAAAAAGUACGUGAAAUUGUUGAAAGGGAAGGGCUUGAGAUCAGACUCGGUAUUUUGCGAUCCUAUCCUUCGUGGAGAGGUUUCACUUGCAGCUUACCGGGCCAGCAUCGGUUUGGAUGGUAGGAUAAUGACAUUGGAAUGUGGCUCUUCGGAGUGUUAUAGCCUUUGUUG
rnacentral:rRNA from 1 species